rnacentral:rRNA from 1 species
GACGAACGCUGGCGGCGUGCUUAACACAUGCAAGUCGAACGGUGAAGCGCCUUCCUUUUUGGUGGGUGUGGAUGAGUGGCGAACGGGUGAGUAACACGUGAGUAACCUGCCCCCUUCUUCUGGAUAACCGCAUGAAAGUGUGGCUAAUACGGGAUAUUCUGGGUCUGUCGCAUGAUGGGUCUGGGAAAGAUAUUGUUUCGGUGGGGGAUGGGCUCGCGGCCUAUCAGCUUGUUGGUGGGGUGAUGGCCUACCAAGGCGGUGACGGGUAGCCGGCCUGAGAGGGUGGACGGUCACACUGGGACUGAGACACGGGCCAGACUCCUACGAGAGGCAGCAGUGGGGAAUAUUGCACAAUGGGCGCAAGCCUGAUGCAGCGACGCCGCGUGAGGGAUGGAGGCCUUCGGGUUGUGAACCUCUUUCGCCAGUGAAGCAGGCCUGCCUCGUUUGUGGGUGGGUUGACGGUAGCUGGAUAAGAAGCGCCGGCUAACUACGUG